UACAGAGGGGGCAAGCGUUAUUCGGAAUUAUUGGGCGUAAAGAGCUCGUAGGCGGCCUGUCGCGUCGGAUGUGAAAGCCCGGGGCUUAACCCCGGGUCUGCAUUCGAUACGGGCAGGCUAGAGUGUGGUAGGGGAGAUCGGAAUUCCUGGUGUAGCGGUGAAAUGCGCAGAUAUCAGGAGGAACACCAAUGGCGAAGGCAGCUCGCUGGGACGGUACUGACGCUGAGGCGCGAAAGCGUGGGGAGCAAACAGG
rnacentral:rRNA from 1 species